UUUGAAUCUUGGUGUCAAACUGUUACUAUUCUUCCUACCAACCCACUCUUUUCCCAUACACACAUCUCCCUUUGGACAGUUAGUUGUCUUUCUUACUGGUUUAACUACCAGGUUGAUUUGAUUUAGCACUUUUCCAACCUAGUAUACAAUCUCAUCUUUCCAUUUACAAAAGUUAGCUAAGUUUAAAGUCAUGCCAUUGCAGUGGUGAUGGGGAGGGUGUGGUGGUCUUGUAGAAGGAAGGAAAAGGAAGAGCCCUCACAUUUGCCAGGCAUAGGGAGUAGCAGGAGCAAUAGACUACACAGAAUCAAUGCUAAUGAAAAAGCCAUCUCUGGGUUCCACCAUUAAUCAGAGAAAUCCUAGCCACAGAUGUCAAUUUGGAAACCAGAAAUUUGGAAUGCUCCUUAUAAUCAUGAUUAAGACCUCCAAAAAUUUGGGUCAUAAAAGUUAUGCAGUUACUUAUUUGGUUCUUUUCUCCCUUUUAAAGAGGGGUCUAAUACUCCAGUUAGUGGCAUGUGAUAGGUGUUUUUAAUUUAUAUCUGGAUCAUGGCCAAGAUAAGGUGUGAGUAUACCAAAGAUUUAUACAGUUAUAAGUCAAUCUGAAUUAUAAGAAAAAUUAAUCUGAUA
rnacentral:lncRNA from 1 species